UGAACGCGAAGAACCUUACCUGGGUUUGACAUGCACAGGACGCCGGCAGAGAUGUCGGUUCCCUUGUGGUCUGUGUGCAGGUGGUGCAUGGCUGUAGACAGCUCGUGUCGUGAGAUGUUGGGUUAAGUCCCGCAACGAGCGCAACCCUUGUCUCAUGUUGCCAGCGGGUAAUGCCGGGGACUCGUGAGAGACUGCCGGGGUCAACUCGGAGGAAGGUGGGGAUGACGUCAAGUCAUCAUGCCCCUUAUGUCCAGGGCUUCACACAUGCUACAAUGGCCGGUACAAAGGGCUGCGAUGCCGUGAGGUGGAGCGAAUCCUUUCAAAGCCGGUCUCAGUUCGGAUCGGGGUCUGCAACUCGACCCCGUGAAGUCGGAGUCGAAAGUAAUCGCAGAUCAGCAACGCUGCGGUGAAUACGUUCCCGGGUCUUGUACACACGCA
rnacentral:rRNA from 1 species